UAAUUGCUUUAUAUAUAAGAUGUUUAUUUUCAAGAUUCAAAAGACUGCUUUUGCAUAUUAGAGGUUAUAAAGCAGAAGUUAUGUUCUUAACUUAUUUAACAAGAUAACUAUUAUGAAGCUUCCAGUUAAGUCUGGAGUCAAUAAUAACGCCGAGGUACAUUACUUUAUGCAUCAAGGAAGAGAUGUCGCGGUAGAGUUACAGCUUUAAUUUUCCCCUUUUUUCUUUUUCUUGAGAUGAUCAUCGCAUGAAAUUUGGUAGGGUUUAUCGUAAUUUUCUACUUUGCAAACCUUUUUCAAGUGUAUAAGGAAAGCCUGCACACAUUUAAUAGCUAAUGCAGUUGAUUUCCAAAUACUAUAUGUGGCAACGGCGUCAGAGUAUAAAACUAGAAAAACUUUGUUGGCAGGAGAGGGAUGUGGCAUCAAGCAUAUAGGGAGAAUAAGAAAGUGAUGAAAGAGAGCGCAGAAGGACUGCAGCUUGAUGCCCCUGGGGACGGACAAGACUUCCCCUUAUUCGUAUUGACAAAUGAUUUACCACAAAGAAAUUAAUACAGCACGAGUAUAAGACUCUAUCAAAAGCUUUUUCAAUAUUGUUCUCUACGAUCCUUAAAAUUUGCUGUGUUGUGGAGUCUAUCCCAAGCAAGAGCCUUCAUUUUCUAAUUGCUGGAUAAUGAAGAGUGGAGCGCUUCUGAGGCCUCUUUCUAUCAAGGUAAUGACUUCAGUUGCGUGCGAUUAAUACAUUAUAAGGGUACACCAAUCCGACGCAAGCAUUUUCUUUUUAGUAACGUGCUUUCAAACUACUUUUUGGAUUUGAGCAACCCUAGCUCGCCCAAUGCGCAAGUAUUGAAUUAAGGCACGCCUUAGCCUGUAUUAAGUUCGC